UGGGGAAUAUUGCACAAUGGGGGAAACCCUGAUGCAGCGACGCCGCGUGAGCGAUGAAGUAUUUCGGUAUGUAAAGCUCUAUCAGCAGGGAAGAAAAUGACGGUACCUGACUAAGAAGCCCCGGCUAACUACGUGCCAGCAGCCGCGGUAAUACGUAGGGGGCAAGCGUUAUCCGGAUUUACUGGGUGUAAAGGGAGCGUAGACGGCAUGGCAAGCCAGAUGUGAAAGCCCGGGGCUCAACCCCGGGACUGCAUUUGGAACUGUCAGGCUAGAGUGUCGGAGAGGAAAGCGGAAUUCCUAGUGUAGCGGUGAAAUGCGUAGAUAUUAGGAGGAACACCAGUGGCGAAGGCGGCUUUCUGGACGAUGACUGACGUUGAGGCUCGAAAGCGUGGGGAGCAAA
rnacentral:rRNA from 1 species